UGGGCUACACACGUGCUACAAGUGGUCGGUACAAAGGGUUGCCAAGCCGCGAGGUGGAGCUAAUCCCAUAAAACCGAUCGUAGUCCGGAUCGCAGUCUGCAACUCGACUGCGUGAAGUCGGAAUCGCUAGUAAUCGUGAAUCAGAAUGUCACGGUGAAUACGUUCCCGGGCCUU
rnacentral:rRNA from 1 species